rnacentral:rRNA from 1 species
UACGUAGGUGGCAAGCGUUGUCCGGAAUUAUUGGGCGUAAAGCGCACGUAGGCGGUCUGUUAUGUCGGAUGUGAAAGCCCUUGGCUCAACUGAGGAAGUGCAUCCGAAACUGGCAGGCUAGAGUACGUAAGAGGGUCGCGGAAUUCCCGGUGUAGAGGUGAAAUUCGUAGAUAUCGGGAGGAACACCGGUGGCGAAGGCGGCGACCUGGGACGAUACUGACGCUGAGGUGCGAAAGCGUGGGGAGCAAACAGG